CAGUAGCCGCGGUAAUACGAAGGGUGCAAGCGUUAAUCGGAAUUACUGGGCGUAAAGGGCGUGUAGGCGGCCUGGGGCGUCCCAUGUGAAAGGCCACGGCUCAACCGUGGAGGAGCGUGGGAUACGCUCAGGCUAGAGGGUGGGAGAGGGUGGUGGAAUUCCCGGAGUAGCGGUGAAAUGCGCAGAUACCGGGAGGAACGCCGAUGGCGAAGGCAGCCACCUGGUCCACUUCUGACGCUGAGGCGCGAAAGCGUGGGGAGCAAACCGGAUUAGAUACCCGAGUAGUCCCUGUCUCUUAUAC
rnacentral:rRNA from 1 species